GAUGAAGAACGCAGUGAAAUGCGAUAAGUAAUGUGAAUUGCAGAAUUCGGUGAAUCAUCGAAUCUUUGAACGCACAUUGCGCCCGCUAGUAUUCUGGCGGGCAUGCCUGUUCGAGCGUCAUUUCAACCAUCAAGCCCUGUUUAGGCUUGUGUUGGGGCCCUGCGGCUGCCGCAGCCCCCUAAAUGCAGUGGCGGGCUCGUUGUCACUCCGAGCGCAGUAGCGUAUCUCGCUCUGGGCGUGGCGGCGGGUGCUAGCCGUGAAACACCCACUAAGGUUGACCUCGGAUCAGGUAGGAAUACCCGCUGAACUUAAGCAUAUCAAUAAGCGGAGGA
rnacentral:misc_RNA from 1 species